CCUACGGGUGGCAGCAGUGAGGAAUAUUGGUCAAUGGUCGGGAGACUGAACCAGCCAAGCCGCGUGAGGGAGGAAGGUACAGAGUAUCGUAAACCUCUUUUGUCAGGGAACAAAGUCUGGCACGUGUCCCCUGUUGAGUGUCCCUUACCAACAAGCAUCGGCAAACUCCGUGCCAGCAGCCGCGGUAAUACGGGGGAGGCGUGGGUUAUCCGGAUUUAUGGGGUUUAAGGGGUGCGAGGGGGGUGUGUUCAGUAAGCGGGCAAGGCCCGGGGCUAAACCCCGGCCCGCCGUUGAAACUGGCAGUCUCGAGUUGGGGAGAGGUAAGCGGAAUGCGCGGUGUAGCGGUGAAAUGCAUAGAUAUCACGCAGAACACCGAUUGCGAAGGCAGCAUGCCGGAUCGAAACUGACGCUGAGGCACGAAAGCGUGGGUAUCGAACAGGAUUAGAUACCCGUGUAGUC
rnacentral:rRNA from 1 species